AACGAACGCUGGCGGCGUGGAUAAGACAUGCAAGUCGAGCGGGACAAUCAGGGUAGCAAUAUUCUGGUUGUUCAGCGGCGCAAGGGUGCGUAACACGUGGGUAAUUUGCCAUGAAGUCUGGAAUAACAUGCUGAAAGGCGAGCUAAUGCCGGAUGUGACUUCCGAGGGGCAUCUCUUGGAAUUCAAAGCUGGAACCGUAAGGUCUGGCGCUUCUUGAUAAGCCCGCGGUCUAUCAGCUAGUUGGUGAGGUAACGGCUCACCAAGGCUAAGACGGAUAGCUGGUCUGAGAGGACGACCAGCCACACUGGAACUGAGACACGGUCCAGACACCUACGGGUGGCAGCAGUCGAGAAUUUUUCACAAUGGGCGAAAGCCUGAUGGAGCGACGCCGCGUGGGGGAUGAAUGGCUUCGGCCCGUAAACCCCUGUCAUUUGCGAACAAACCUUACCGGUUAAUACCCGGUCGAGCUGAUUGUAGCGGAAGAGGAAGGGACGG
rnacentral:rRNA from 1 species